GAUGAACGCUGGCGGCGUGCCUAAUACAUGCAAGUCGAGCGAAGCGGGGACGGGUGAGUAACACGUGGAUAACCUCCUAUAAGACUGGGAUAACUUCGGGAAACCGGAGCUAAACCGGAUACUUAUAGAUGGAUCCGCGCGUCAUUAGCUAGUUGGUAAGGUAACGGCUUACCAAGGCAACGAUGCAUAGCCGACCUGAGAGAGUGAGCGGCCAAACGGAAUAUAGGACACGGUCCAGACUCCGACGAGAGGCGGCAGUAGGGAAUCUUCAGCAAUGGGCGGAAGUCUGACGGAGCGCCGCCGCGUGAGUGACGAAGGUAUGCGGAUCGUAAAGCGCUGUUAUAAGGCAAGCUGUAACGAAUCAGAAAUGCACGGCUAACUACGUGCCAGCAGCCGCGGUAAUAC
rnacentral:rRNA from 1 species